rnacentral:rRNA from 1 species
UUGGAGAGGUGAUCCUGGCUCAGAACGAACGCUGGCGGCAUGCCUAACACAUGCAAGUCGAACGAUCCCUUCGGGGAUAGUGGCGCACGGGUGCGUAACGCGUGGGAAUCUGCCCUUUGGUUCGGAAUAACAGUUAGAAAUGACUGCUAAUACCGGAUGAUGACUUCGGUCCAAAGAUUUAUCGCCAGAGGAUGAGCCCGCGUAGGAUUAGGUAGUUGGUGGGGUAAAGGCCUACCAAGCCGACGAUCCUUAGCUGGUCUGAGAGGAUGAUCAGCCACACUGGGACUGAGACACGGCCCAGACUCCUACGGGAGGCAGCAGUGGGGAAUAUUGGACAAUGGGGGAAACCCUGAUCCAGCAAUGCCGCGUGAGUGAUGAAGGCCUUAGGGUCGUAAAGCUCUUUUACCCGGGAUGAUAAUGACAGUACCGGGAGAAUAAUAAGUCCCGGCUAA